AACGAACGCUGGCGGCAGGCCUAACACAUGCAAGUCGAGCGAGGACUUCGGUUCUAGCGGCGGACGGGUGAGUAACGCGUGGGAAUGUGCCCUUCUCUACGGAAUAGCCCUGGGAAACUGGGAGUAAUACCGUAUACGCCCUAUUGGGGAAAGAUUUAUCGGAGAAGGAUCAGCCCGCGUUGGAUUAGGUAGUUGGUGGGGUAAUGGCCUACCAAGCCGACGAUCCAUAGCUGGUUUGAGAGGAUGAUCAGCCACACUGGGACUGAGACACGGCCCAGACUCCUACGGGAGGCAGCAGUGGGGGAUCUUAGACAAUGGGGGCAACCCUGAUCUAGCCAUGCCGCGUGAGUGAUGAAGGCCUUAGGGUUGUAAAGCUCUUUCAGCUGGGAAGAUAAUGACGGUACCAGCAGAAGAAGCCCCGGCUAACUCCGUG
rnacentral:rRNA from 1 species